rnacentral:rRNA from 1 species
UGGGGAAUCUUGCACAAUGGGGGAAACCCUGAUGCAGCGACGCCGCGUGAGCGAUGAAGCCCUUCGGGGUGUAAAGCUCUUUCGGCAGGGAAGAUGAUGACGGUACCUGCAGAAGCAGCUGCGGCUAACUACGUGCCAGCAGCCGCGGUAAUACGUAGGCAGCAAGCGUUGUUCGGAGUUACUGGGCGUAAAGGGUGUGUAGGCGGUUGGAUAAGUGUGGUGUGAAAUCUCCCGGCUCAACUGGGAGGGUGCGCUACAAACUGUCUGACUAGAGUGUGGGAUGGGUAAGUGGAAUUCCUGGUGUAGCGGUGAAAUGCGUAGAUAUCAGGAGGAACACCGGUGGUGUAGACGGCUUACUGGACCAUAACUGACGCUGAGACACGAAAGCGUGGGUAGCAAACA